rnacentral:lncRNA from 1 species
AGUAGAGCUCGGCGCACGCGCUGCUCUCGGCUCCUCCGGCUCCGGGUCCCUGCUGCUAACCGCCCAUUUUCGCUUCUUCUCAGCCAGCCCUCCCCGCAGCCGGCCCCUUCUCUCCUGCCAGCCCCUACCCGGGCCCGGAACAUCUGAAACCCGCCCGCGUGGCCCGCGCGACCCGCGCGGGAGGCCGGCCCGGCCAUCUUGCGACCCGGCCCUGCGGCCUCGCAGCGGCUCCGCGCCGCCUCCUGGGACCGCCUCGCCGAGAACCCCUGGCCUCCCAGUCCUCGCCCACAGGCGACCACCCUCCUCACCUCUGGGUCUCCCACCCGCUUUGUCUCAAGGAGUGUGAUCAGUCCGGCCGCGCUCCUUCAGUUUUUGUGGGUCAUUCAACAAACGCACACAUUUAAACCCCCUCGCUUCAUCUUUCCCGCUUGUUGAGUGCAGUUAGUACAAUGAGAAGGACAUUCGUGUCCAUCCUAGUUCCAGUCCAGUAGCUAGGGCGGUGGGGGAUUGGGGGAGCUCCGUUUCUGAGCAAGGCUCUGCUCCCUCCUCACUUUCCACAUCGAAGAGAAGGGAGAUCUCUGCUCCUGGGACCCCCGGGCCGGACCUCCUCGGCCACAAGAACUGACCUCUUCCUAUGCCCUGUGUGUCACCUGCCCAGCUAGAAGCCCCUUUUUUCUUCCCCCUGACACAGUACCUGCCUCCCCGGCCCAGGCUCACUGUGGAACCCCAUGGGCAAGUCCGUAGAAACUUAACAGUCUGUUCAUCUCGAGGUUAAAAACUAACCUUUAUCUGUCCUUAAAACUGUAAGCCUAGAACAGAAACUGGCUCCAACUGUCCUCUCACUGAGUAACUGGCAAAGUCAAAAGGAUUUUGACUUUUAGCAAUGCAAAUGAAAUAUUGAAACUGAUGUCCAAUAAAACAUAUGCAAGUUACAGGCAAAACCAGUCUUAACAAUUACCGCAGUGACCGAUAAGUAGUUGUAGCUAUGUAAAUUUAAAUUAAUCCCGUUCCUCUAGGGGACUAGCCACAUUUCAAGUGUUCAAGAGCUACACGCGGCUACCUUAUUGGACAUCCAGAAAAUUCUACUGGACAGCUGUUAGGAGGCAAAAGGACUUUAGGAGCCGACUAGAAUUUGGUUUUCGUUUUCAUGAUCCUUGAGUCUUCCACCCAAGAGAAUUGUUCAGAUAUCCUGGGGAAACUCUUCAUUUAAGAAGUAACCAGAACUCCACGCCUAUCAAAUCAUACCCCUGGGUCAGAGGCUAAAAUUCAUCUGGAAGAACCUCAACAGGAUAGCUAAAAAUAAAAAGUUUAAGAAAACAUUGCGG